AGCUAUAAGGUAUUAUUUAUAGUCUAACCUGCUCAAUGUGAGUAAAUCAUAAAUAGCCGCGGUACUCUGACCGUGCUAAGGUAGCGUAAUCAGUUGGCUUUUAAAUGGAGUCGGGUAUGAAUGGGAGAACCAAGUUUAGCUGUCUAUUAACUAAUAGCUCGAAUUUACUUUUUAAGUGAAAAAGCUUAAGAGUGGAAAAGGGACGAGAAGACCCUUAGAAUUUUUUCUAAAGUACAUUUUAAGUAUAAGGAUUUUGUUGGGGCGACAAAGAAAUAUUUUAUAACUUUCUUUAAAGAAACAUUCCGGUUGUAUUAAUUAAGAAUAAAUUACCUGAGGGAUAACAGCAUAAUUCAAUAAAUGAGUUUGUGACCUCGAUGUUGGACUAGGAAACUAGCAGAUUAGUCAUUUGUUGUGUGGGUUCUGUUCGAACUUUAAUUCCU
rnacentral:rRNA from 1 species